UACGUAGGGAGCAAGCGUUGUCCGGAAUCAUUGGGCGUAAAGCGCGUGUAGGCGGUUACAUAAGUCUGUUGUGAAAGUCGGAGGCUCAACCUUCGAAAGCCGAUGGAUACUGUGUGACUUGAGUACGGAAGAGGAGAGUGGAAUUCCUGGUGUAGCGGUGAAAUGCGCAGAUAUCAGGAGGAACACCAACGGCGAAGGCGGCUUCUUGGCCUGUUCUUGACGCUGAGGCGCGAAAGCUAGGGGAGCAAACAGG
rnacentral:rRNA from 1 species